ACUUGGCUGGCUCAGUUGGUAGAGCAUGUGACUCUUGAUCUUGGGGUCAUGAGUUUGAGCCUCAUGUUGGGUG
rnacentral:tRNA from 1 species